rnacentral:rRNA from 1 species
GACGAACGCUGGCGGCGUGCUUAACACAUGCAAGUCGAACGCUGAACCCGCUUCGGUGGGGGAUGAGUGGCGAACGGGCGAGUAACACGUGGGCAACCUGCCCCCGGCUCUGGGAUAACUCCAAGAAAUUGGGGCUAAUACCGGAUGUGACCGCUGGCCGCAUGGUCUGGUGGUGGUAAGGCUUUCCGGCUGGGGAUGGGCCCGCGGCGUAUCCGCUUGUUGGUGGGGUAGUGGUCUACCAAGGCGACGACGGGUAGCCGGCCUGAGAGGGUGACCGGCCACACGGGGACUGCGGGACGGCCCAGACUCCUACGGGAGGCAGCAGUGGGGAAUAUUGCGCACUGGGCGGAAGCCUGGCGCAGCGACGCCGCGUGGGGGAUGACUGCCUUCGGGUUGUAAACCUCUUUCAGCAGGGACGAAGCGCAAGUGACGGUACCUGGAGAAGAAGCACCGGCCAACUACGUG